UACGGGGGGGGCAAGCGUUGUUCGGAAUUACUGGGCGUAAAGGGCUCGUAGGCGGCCAACUAAGUCAGACGUGAAAUCCCUCGGCUUAACCGGGGAACUGCCUCUGAUACUGGAUGGCUUGAGAUUGGGAGAGGGAUGCGGAAUUCCAGGUGUAGCGGUGAAAUGCGUAGAUAUCUGGAGGAACACCGGUGGCGAAGGCGGCAUCCUGGACCAACACGGACGCUGAGGAGCGAAAGCCAGGGGAGCAAACGGG
rnacentral:rRNA from 1 species